ensembl:snRNA U6 U6 spliceosomal RNA
UUAGAAGUUGUUCUAAGUAUUGGAAAGAUACAGAGAAGAUUAGCAUGGCCGCUGCGCAAGGAUGACACGCAAAUUCGUGAAGCGUUCCAUAUUUUU